ACUUCAGAAGCACAGACUCUACCUGACUGCCCUGCAUUACAAUGAAAAUACUGACCACGGGCAACAUCUACAGGUGGAGAGCUGCUGUACAGUCAACUUCCCCAAAUCUAUGCAUGAAGAAUGAACUGCAAAGCCUGUGAAAGCAGAGCCAACAUUCCACUACGUUGAUGCACUGUUGGACCUGAGCUUCAAGAAGGUUUUCCAGGACCCUGGCCCAUAUGUGAACGAGGUGCUGAAGCUUACAAUCCCUGAAGACCUCUCGGCUCAGUAUGAAAGACCCAACAAGCUGGACAUUAUAA